ACCCCCACUCCCUGAGCACAGGCCUCUGAUGUCAUUUCCUGACCUGCCUCCCCCUCCCCGCCCGACCCGCGGGUGCCCGAGAUCUGACUCACCGUCCCCCUCCGGGCUUAGCCGGCGGAGGUGGGGCGGGUGCCGCCGAGGUAGCCACGCAGCCCCUGUGCGCCUCCGGCCCGGCCCAGCGACCUCCUCUCGGGCCUGCCGUUACCCGGUCCCCUCCUGCCACCACCCGCUACCCGGCCACCCCGAGUCCGCCUGGGGUGGCCGAACGUAUGGAGCUGGGCUCCAGGGUGCACGGGGAUGGGGGGUGAGGAGCGGGGCGUUCUCCCUCCCAGCACCCCCCAGCUGACUCUGUGCCCGGAGGGGGUGUGUGAGCCGGAACCUCCAGCAUUCUUGGGGAUACGAACUUCCAACGCUGGGCAGCCUCUUAAGGCUUCUAGGAAUUCGCAUCCCCAGCGCCCCAGCCAGCAGAUCGGUUGCGAGAGGGACCGUUCGGGUCCGCGGGGCCGGGAAUGGAGGUGGGAGGGCGGGGCCGAGGCGGCGGCCGCCUGCGGACUGGAGACCCGGGAGGACGGACGCGGACGCGGGCUGCUCGUCUUUUACGGCCCUUCAACGCCCACCACGACCCACUCCUCUUGGAGACCCCGGGCGACGGUGGGGCUCUUGGGCAUUCUGAGACUGCGCUUGGUGGAGACCCCGGGCGACGGUGGAGCUCUUGGGCAUUCUGAGACUGCGCUUGGUGGAGCCCCCUACUGGCCAGACUGGAUUUCUCAGCCUGCGACUCAGCCCCAGGCUACACGAAAGAAGCCAGACCUGGCUUUUACUGCCUCCUGAGGCCUUCGUCUUGUUCACACUGAGUGUCCAGUCCCUCCAAAUCCGGCUACACUCUACUGGCAAGGAGCACCUGGGCCAUGUUUUAGAGAUCAUCCGAGGACUAACCCCAAAAGUUUAUGAAGAGAAAGCAGAGGCCGAGCUGAAGAGAUGGACCCGGGUCACACCCAGGUAAAGGCAGGAUCUAAACUGAAACUGGUGUCAGAUCUGGUUGCCUUGCACCCCUGAUAUCAGGUGAAGCAACACUGGGCAGGAUAGAGCAGAGUGAGGUCAGAGUGUGAAGAUCCAGCCUGAUGCCCAAACUGACGCCUCUUCAUUCUCCCCUGCUCCAUCUGUAAACGUCACGGUUAAUCCAUCUACUUUAUUGCAUUAUAUAGAGAAAUAAAUGAAAUGUCAUAGCUGUAUGCGCUAUAUGACUCAGUAUUAUUAUUCAAAUUCCAGUUCUGCCCAGAAUGAAAAUUCUG
rnacentral:lncRNA from 1 species